rnacentral:sRNA from 1 species
CCAGGGGGUGAACCCCCUGGCUACAGACGGUCGCCCCUUCAGGGCU